rnacentral:rRNA from 3 species
UUUCGGAGCUAACGCGUUAAGUAGACCGCCUGGGGAGUACGGUCGCAAGAUUAAAACUCAAAUGAAUUGACGGGGGCCCGCACAAGCGGUGGAGCAUGUGGUUUAAUUCGAUGCAACGCGAAGAACCUUACCUACUCUUGACAUCCAGAGAACUUAGCAGAGAUGCUUUGGUGCCUUCGGGAACUCUGAGACAGGUGCUGCAUGGCUGUCGUCAGCUCGUGUCGUGA